CAAAGACCUACUGCCGUUCAUCAUGAUUGUAGAUAAUGCCCAAUGACUCUGUGUCUAUAAAAAUACCAAUAGAUAUUUGAUAAUCUUUGCUAAAGAUAUAAGAAAAGAGAAGCUGAACUUCAAGGACAACUCGAAAGGGACAUUCCAGGUCCAGAUAUCCCUACAGAAUGGGCUGAGGACUCUGUUGCAGCUGUAUCCCUAUUGAACAUCUCCCUCUGCUCUUCUUGUUUACAUAUUUCCUUAGAAAUAUCAUUCCUAAGCCCAGUACGCCUCCUGCAUCAAACUCAAAGUCCUGAACAGAAAGGAAUAGUGCCUUUGGAAUUGGAAUGUUUUCAUUCAAUAAUCGUCAAACCCCAGAUUUUUCUGAACCCUCCUGAAGUGAUAAAAUGGCUCGCUCUUUCUUGUUAAAGACCAGAACCACCCAAACCCUUGCUUCAACAUUAUUCAGAAUCAUCUGCUCUGGAAAGAAACAUGAAUUUACUUGGAAUUUCUUCCCAUUUUCCCUCUUGGCCAUAAGGUAAGUAACAAUCCCAGUCAGGUAGAGAAGUGCUGGUUCUGCUAAGGAGGGAAGAAACCAAAUGCAAAAAAAAAAAACCUUCCCCAAAAAACCACUACAGAGUAUGUCAACAUGUAUCAUCUGCAGCCAAGAGAACAUGUAUAGGAAUGAAGUCUGAGGGUGGUGGGUCAAAGGAACCAAAACAGAAAGUUGAAAGUUGGAUAUGGGAGAAUAUAUAAAUAUGGUGUACUUUCCCAGAUAUGUUUUAUCACUCUAGGAAAGAUACACAGAGGAGAUGGGAUUUGGAAGUUUAGAAAAAUCAAUGGUUUAAUCUAAGCGAUGUAACAAUUCCAAUAUAGAAGACACUGAAUAAAAGGAUCAAUAUGAGAAUCUCUCAUACUAGAGUGGAUGCAUUAUACAAUAUUGGACAGUUCACUAUGAAAAUAGUACACUGGCUUACCAUAUUGAUGACAUAUUAUUACUUAGAGACCAAUCAAUAAUGUGGUGGUAAGUCUACUGCUUUAAUUACGUAUAGAUUGAAAGUGUUAAAAAUCCAUCUCAUAGUAAUUGAUGAAUAUUUUUGUCUUUGUCUUUCCUGCUCAUCAAGCUCACCAGCAUCAUUCUCAAGAAUUCAGAAUAUCUUAUCCACUCAUAGCAGAUCUCUCAGACCAUCACCACUGACCAAUGAAGUAUUUGCAACAGAGAUUUACCGAUGGGCAUAUGAUGAUGAGGUCCGCUACUCCUAACAAACACUGGAACAAGAGAAGCCAUUGACCUGAUAUAGCUAUAGAAUUGCUUCUUAGAAGGUCAGCAGAGGUGCCUGUAUAGAGUUGAUAAUCUAUUAAUAUGGGGCACCAUCCUCCAGGAUACACCAUAAAUCACUAAUGAUUUUCCCUAGUGGAUAGAACACUUGGAUUAGGAAACCACAGGUGUUAAGUAGAUGUGGGCCUGUUUUCCAUACUUCCAGUUGCAGUACUUUCCAUCUCCACAAUUCAGGCUCUAGAAGUCCUAAUUCCAGAAGUGGUGGAUGCUUUUGCUUAAGUACCAUUAAACUUUGUUACGGCUGCAAUAUGGUAAUUUCAGAUUCCUUGUUCACAGUGAAUUGCAAGUACAGGAAUUCACAUUAUUGGUUAAAAAGAAAAAAUUACCCUCAUCAGUAUAGCUAUUGCUAUAAAAUUGUACCAAUAAAGAAUGCAUUUGGCAUUAGUUAUUUUCUUUUGGUACCAUGAUACCUCUUUUAAUUAUAAACAGAUAAGUGUAUCAGCCAAAGACUGAAGAGAUCAUCAAUGAGGAGUAAAAGUCAGGUUUACCUAUGAGGUAAUCCACCUAGACCAAUGGAAAUGCUAGCUGAUAUGAGGGGAAUCUAGAAAAGGUAUGAAGAAGGGAGAAAAUUGCUAUCACUUAAGACCUUGAGACCAACUGCAGUGAGGAGAAAAGAGGUUGUAAAUCAUCUUACUAGCCCACAUAUUAUACAUUUCCCUAGGAGAUGAGACAAAAUGAAAUUCUGGUGAAUAUGAACCAGAUGAGGUAAACUUACUAUUAGAAACAUGCAGAUCAAAAGGGCAAAAAAAAUAGGGACUCCAAUGGAAAGUGUGGAGUACCAUAGCUGCCAUGAGUACUGGCUGAUGACAACUCAGAGCUGAGUAUUUCUCCUGGAGUGUUCCUUGCCUAAAGGUCAGGAUGCAUUCAAAGAACGGUUUAUGCUGGGGUAAAAUGGUCCAGACCUCUUAUCUCAGUUUUGAACAGUUAAGCCCCUGGGAUCAGCUGAGACUUUUGCAUCACAAUUUAAUUUUAGCAUCUGCUCAAUCCUACUCCUCUCAUAUGCAUACAUUUUUUCCCAAGUACAUACCCAUAAAACUCCUAUGUGCAAAUAUUUAAUUCAGAAUGUUUUUUUUCUAGGAAUUUCAGUAUAAAAUACUCUCAACUUGGAGUUCCCAUCAUGGAUCAGUGGUUAAUGAAUCUGACCAGGAACCAUGAGGUUGCAGGUUCCAUCCCUGGCCUUGCU